UGCUAUAUAUGGUGUUAUUGUGGCCAUCAUUCUUCAAACAAAGCUCGAGAGUGUACCUGCCUCGCAGAUUUAUGCACCAGAAUCUCUUAGAGCUGGCUAUGCAAUUUUUGCUUCUGGGAUCAUUGUGGGAUUUGCCAAUCUUGUCUGUGGGUUGUGCGUUGGAAUAAUUGGAAGCAGCUGUGCUUUAUCUGAUGCACAAAACUCCUCACUUUUCGUUAAGAUCCUCGUGAUCGAGAUUUUUGGUAGUGCACUUGGG
rnacentral:misc_RNA from 1 species